AGGGUCAGAAGAGAAGAUCAAGUGAGACUGAGAGGAAAUGGGGAGAGGAUGUCACGUGCCAUGUGUAUGACAUGGCGCCAUUCCAGCCGUUUAUUCAGUUGUUGCCCACUUCCCUUCACAUCUCCAUUACUCUUGGCUCCUUCUCACUUUCACUAUAUCAUUUCCGACAUCAUUGUAAGUCACCAUCAUUCUCAUCUUCUCUCUUCUUUCACCCAAAACCCUAGCUCUCAAUCCUCAAUCAUGGAGUCUUCACCUCCCCAUCAUCAGCAAAAUGAAAGCAACGGCACCCAUAACAUCUCCAAGAAAUCAAAGCCCAUGUUGAUAUCUGAGUCAGAUCUUCGAUUUGAAUUCUCUCACCACGACCCCAGUAUCGCCAGAAUCAAUAACGGGUCUUUCGGCAGCUGCCCGGCCUCCGUUACUGCCGCUCAACACCAUUGGCAGCUCCUAUUUCUCCGCCAGCCCGACCACUUCUACUUCAACCGUCUCCAGCCAGCCAUUCUCCGUUCAAGAACCCUGAUCAAGGACCUCGUCAACGCCGACCACGUCGAUGAAAUCUCCCUUGUCGACAACGCCACCACCGCCGCCGCAAUCGUCCUCCAGCAAAUCGCUUGGGCCUUCACAGAAGGCCGAUUCCAGAGGGGCGACGCCGUCGUCAUGCUCCACUACGCCUACGGCGCCGUCAAGAAGUCCAUCCACGCCUACGUCUGUCGCGCCGGCGGCCAAGUCAUCGAAGUUCCGUUGCCGUUUCCGGUGAAUUCGAACGAAGAGAUUGUGGAUGAGUUUAGGCGGGCUUUGAUGAGAGGGAAGGCCAACAGUGGAAGGGUGAGGUUGGCUGUGAUCGAUCACAUUACGUCGAUGCCGUCGGUGCUGAUUCCGGUAAAAGAGUUGGUCAAGAUUUGCAGGGAAGAGGGGGUUGACCAAGUUUUCGUGGAUGCAGCUCAUGGUAUUGGGUGUACUGAUGUUGAUAUGAAAGAAAUUGGUGCUGAUUUUUACACCAGUAAUUUGCAUAAAUGGUUCUUUUGCCCGCCAUCCGUUGCAUUUUUGUACUGCCGGAAAACACCUGAGACUUGUCCGGAGUUGCACCAUCCGGUGGUGUCUCAUGAAUACGGUAAUGGGUUAGCCAUAGAAAGUGGUUGGAUAGGGACUAGAGAUUACAGUGCCCAAUUGGUGGUCUCGGAUGCAAUUGAAUUCACGAACCGGUUUGAAGGUGGUAUAGAGGGAAUCAAGAAAAGAAAUCAUGAUGGUGUUGUUGAGAUGGGGAAGAUGUUGGCCAGUGCAUGGGGGACAAAUCUUGGGACUCCACAAGAAAUGUGUGCAAGCUUGAUAAUGGUUGGGUUGCCCGUUUCUUUGGGGAUUUCUAGUGAUUCAGAUGCUAUGAAGUUAAGAAAGCAUUUGAGGGAAAAUUUUGGUGUUGAAGUGCCAAUAUACUAUCGGCACCCAAAAGAUGGGGAGGUUAAUCCAAUAACAGGGUAUGCUCGAAUUUCUUAUCAAGUUUACAACACAAUCGAUGAUUAUUACAAGUUCAGAGAUGCGGUUAAUCAACUUGUUAGUGAUGGUUUUACUUGUGCUCUUUUCCCUAAGUGAAAAGGUAUGCUCUCUAAGUGAAAAGUUCAAUGGCACGUUGAACACAUUGUAGAAAUCUUCUGGAGUGGUGAAUAACAUCCAUUUUCUUGGCUUUGAUUGUCAUGUCUUUGAGACCAUAGCACUUUGCAAUGGUAGUCGAUAAACCAAAUGCAUGCAUGUAUCAGCAGAAAAAGGGUCUUCUCUUAGUGUCUAUGAUCAGCUUUCAGGUAAUGCAAGGCUGGCACGCAAUAAGGCAUUAUUAACCAUGAUUUUGUUCAUCCCCUCUGUAGAGGUUCCAUCUGGUUUGAAGUAUUUGUUGUUUUUUAAUGGACUAUGAUUGCAUGAUGAUUUUGAUGGAUGGUUUGAGUCAAUUGAUGGGGUAUUUCGCAGCAACGUGUUUGGAUUCUUGGAUCUACAGAGUCGGGCCAUUGACUCACGUAAAGGGUUAACAAAUUUUGUCAAAUCCAUAUUUUGAACAGCCUCUCCCUCUGUUGUGACGUGGAACUGCAACAUAGUAUGUUGUCAUCUCAUCUUUCUCAUUUUCCUGUACAGUGAAACGAAACUGUGAGAAAUAGCAGCCUUCAAGGACCCGGCAACCUUGCUAGGACACCGUCUCAAACACCUCCUGGAGGAGGAAGAAGAUUGAAGCUCAAUUGGCUGGCUAAAUUCCUGCUUCAUUUUCCGAAGCUGGUUUUCCAUUUGUACACAAAUGUAAAGCCAAAAGAAUGUAAUGCUUCUUUCUUCUAGAACAGCUACUCCCACCCUUUGUAUCUUGGCUAAUGUUUGUGGAAUUGCUGUUAAAACUUUGUUGA